AACAGUUUGCUAAAAUCUUUUACGGUUUUAGAGAUAUAGCGAUAACAAGAAAAAGGGGACGCAGGGAGAUAACUCCUAUAAGAAUAAGUGUUCCGUCACACAGGGUGAGUUUUGAAACCUCCUUUACUGUACAACAUCAUUGGCCAAAAAAUCCAUUCGAUAUGUUGUAAGACAAAAAAGCAUCACAGACGGCAGAAGAAAAAAAAAAUAAUCAGAAG
rnacentral:lncRNA from 1 species